rnacentral:rRNA from 1 species
AUGAACGCUAGCGGGAGGCUUAACACAUGCAAGUCGUGGGGCAGCAUAAUGUAGCAAUACGUUGAUGGCGACCGGCGCACGGGUGAGUAACGCGUAUGCAACCUACCCUGUACAGGGGGAUAGCCCGGAGAAAUUCGGAUUAAUACCCCAUAAAGAUAUUUGAUGGCAUCAUUAGAUAUUUAAAGUUUCGGCGGUACGGGAUGGGCAUGCGUAACAUUAGCUAGUUGGUAGGGUAACGGCCUACCAAGGCAACGAUGUUUAGGGGUCCUGAGAGGGUGAUCCCCCACACUGGUACUGAGACACGGACCAGACUCCUACGGGAGGCAGCAGUGAGGAAUAUUGGUCAAUGGGCGCAAGCCUGAACCAGCCAUCCCGCGUGGAGGAAGACGGCGCUAUGCGUUGUAAACUUCUUUUCCAGAGGAAUAAAAUUUUGUACGAGUACGGAACUGAAGGUACUCUGGGAAUAAGCAUCGGCUAACUCCGUGCCAGCAGCCGCGGUAAUACGGAGGAUGCAAGCGUUAUCCGGAUUUAUUGGGUUUAAAGGGUGCGUAGGCGGAUUAAUAAGUCAGUGGUGAAAACCUUCAGCUUAACUGGAGACUUGCCAUUGAUACUGUUAGUCUUGAGUAUGGUUAAGGUAGGCGGAAUGUGUAAUGUAGCGGUGAAAUGCUUAGAUAUUACACAGAACACCGAUUGCGAAGGCAGCUUACUGAGCCAUAACUGACGCUGAUGCACGAAAGCGUGGGGAGCGAACAGGAUUAGAUACCCUGGUAGUC